UAAGACGUAGGAUGCAAGCGUUGUCCGGAUUUAUUGGGCGUAAAGAGUUCGUAGGCGGUUCGUUAAGUCUGAUGUUAAAGACUGGGGCUCAACCUCGGAAAUGCAUUGGAUACUGGCGGACUGGAGUACAGUAGAGGCAAGCGGAAUUCCCAGUGUAGCGGUGAAAUGCGUAGAUAUUGGGAAGAACACCGGUGGCGCAAGCGGCUUGCUGGGCUGUAACUGACGCUGAGGAACGAAAGCUAGGGUAGCGAAUGGGAUUAGAUACCCCAGUAGUCCUAGCCGUAAACGAUGGAUACUAGGCGUAUCGGGUAUCGACCCCUGAUGUGCCGCAGCAAACGCGAUAAGUAUCCCGCCUGAGUAGUACGGCCGCAAGGUUG
rnacentral:rRNA from 1 species